rnacentral:RNase_P_RNA from 1 species
UGAGCCGACCGGGUGACCGCGGCGUGGUCUCCACGCUGAGGAAGGUCGGGGCUCCAAAGGACAGGAUGCUGGCUAGCAGCCAGUCGGGGUGACCCGCAGGAAAGUGCCACAGAGAACAGACCGCCGAUGACUCGCAGUCCUUCGGGACGAGGAGUACAGGUAAGGGUGAAACGGUGCGGUAAGAGCGCACCAGCGACCGGGGUGACCCGGCCGGCUCGGCAAACCCCAUCCGGAGCAAGGCCGAACAGGGAGAGGGUGGUCCGCCCGUGGAUCCUCCCGGGUUGGCCGCAUAGAUGGAUGGUCACCCACCCGGACUCCCGCAAGGGACCGGUGGACAGAACCCCGCCUAUAGGUUGGCUCACCGU